UUAACUCAAAUUUGUAUGGAGUUGGAUCGUUUGCCUACGUUUGCCGCUAGGGGCGCUGUUCCAACUGCAUACGAAUUUGAGUUA
rfam:Bombyx mori DNA, contig: Bm_scaf27_contig17544, strain: p50T/Dazao, build 2, whole genome shotgun sequence.